GAUGAACGCUAGCGGCAGGCCUAACACAUGCAAGUCGAGGGGUAGAAGUUGCUUGCAACUUUGAGACCGGCGCACGGGUGCGUAACGCGUAUGCAAUUUGCCUUGUACUGAGGGAUAGCCCAGAGAAAUUUGGAUUAAUACCUCAUAGUAUUAUGGUGUGGCAUCACAUUAUAAUUAAAGUUCCAACGGUACAAGAUGAGCAUGCGUCCCAUUAGUUAGUUGGUAAGGUAACGGCUUACCAAGACGAUGAUGGGUAGGGGUCCUGAGAGGGAGAGCCCCCACACUGGUACUGAGACACGGACCAUACUCCUACGGGAGGCAGCAGUGAGGAAUAUUGGUCAAUGGGCGCAAGCCUUAACCAGCCAUGCCGCGUGCAGGAUGACGGUCCUAUGGAUUGUAAACUGCUUUUAUACGGGAAGAAACACUCCUACGUGUAGGAACUUGACGGUACCGUAAGAAUAAGGAUCGGCUAACUCCGUGCCAGCAGCCGCAGUAACAC
rnacentral:rRNA from 1 species